AGGUUAAGUCAUAUAGUAGGUUAUGCUCAUGAACGCGAGGGAAGCCGCUCACUGAAGCUAGUACUCAAAAAGCCUCAUAAUACGUGGUGUCAAAACAAACAAACAAACAACGUCACGCCUUUUAUCCCCGAAGGGGUAGGCAGAGGUGCUCAUAACGACACGUAAUGCCGCUAUACAAUGUACAGUGUACACCCACCAUUUGUGUUAUAAGUCCCAUGUAAUAGGGGGUAAGCCUAUUACCAUAUACUGGGCACAAUUCCAGACUCCGGGCUACUACUAAGACAUUUUUCGGUAAACCGAAAAAAGCCCAGUAAUAUUUUGCCCGACCCGGGAAUCGAACCCGAGACCUCCUGUCCGGCAGCCGCACUUGUGACCACUCGACCAACGAGGCAGUCACUGAUGUGACAUAUAGCAACAUAAUACCACGAAUUUUAUUAACAUGCACAAUACAAAGCAGGAAAAUCCCGGAACGAUACCAUUGGAAGAUUUAUAAUCACUCAAAAUAAUAAUCAGAAGUACCAAUGCCAACCAGUUAAUUACAAUAAUAAAUAAAUCUAAACAUUAUAAUAUGUAUAUUGUUUCGUUAGUUUAUGUGAGGCCAAUAUAACACUAAUAUUCAGUCAAAGAGCUAUGAGACAUCAAAUGUUUGGAAUCCACAUACGAAUAGUUCGGGAAUCAUCUAAGAGAUGGCGCUAGCUAAUUUUGACAAUAAAGAAGAAUGUCUUCUAUUCAGUCAUUAGUGUUUUCAAGCAUGCUCGUCGAUACUUCUUGGUACGUUCGUUGGUACUUCUGUUACUUUACUUGUCGCGUUCUUUUGUAUUAUUCAUCGCAGAGAAAUCCCCUACAUAUUAGUCACUUUAUAGUAAAAACGAGGUUACGCUGGUUCGUUCAAAAGACAUCGCGCCGUCAACGUGCACAGACCAUUCAUAAAUAUAAUAUAAAUGAGAAACUCCUCUUUUUCGGGAAGUCGGUUAAAAAUGGAGAAUUUAUACAUUUUAUUCUUGUGUUUCUUACUGGUUUCGACUAACGCAGCCGAUGAAGAUGAGGAUUUUAAACCAAUACUAUUUAACAGACCACGAACCCGACAGAACUUCCUACCAUCAAGUGACAUACGUAGACUAUACAAUAAAACCACUAUCAGUCUAUUACCAUCACCGCCUACACCGUUAUCGUCACCGUUAUCAUCAGCAUCAACAUCAUCAUCAGCAGCAUCAGCCGUAAGACGUCCACUGCUGAACAACGAGCUUCUACAUUUUAUUUUGAUUAGCGACAUCUAUGUUUUGUUUCGCGCAAUUAAGUUGAUUAUUUAACCGCGACACAUAUUUCCGUGUCGUGUGUGUAUUACUGCGACACAGAUAAUGCAUGAUUGUUUCGUUCUAUUCACACGAUUGCUCCUUCUUAUUUAUUAUAGAUAUAUUUGUUGUAUCGCUCGCAUCGUAGGUAAGCAUCCCACGCACCGCACGCAACGGAUUUUAGUUUGUCUUGUAUAGAAACUCAUACAACUGCGUCCGUUGAUCCGCAUCGUACGGACCGCAUCAUCAGCAAUGCCUACAUGCGAUACGAACGAUGCGUGCGAUGCGUACGAUGCGAGCCUAUGGACGCUUACCAUAAAGCAUUAACAAUAUUAUAUUUCACUUAUUGUGGUAGCUACCACGCAAUUAUAUUCUCAAGAUGCAUUUAUUAAAUUUAACACUCCACGUAUUGAUUGUUAUAAUUAUUAUUUUUACUAAAAAUUACUUUAAAGACUAAAUACAAUUUUUAUUGCAUAAAAAGA